AUGCAAGUCGAACGCGAAAGGGACUUCGGUCCUGAGUAAAGUGGCGCACGGGUGAGUAACGCGUAGAUAACCUGUCUUCAUGUCUGGAGUAAUACGCCGAAAGGGGUACUAAUACCGGAUAUCUUGCUUUUCAUAAGUUAUGCAAGCAAAGGUGGCCUCUGCAUAUGCUACUGCAUGAAGAGGGGUCUGCGUACCAUUAGCUAGUAGGUGGGGUAAUGGCCUACCUAGGCGACGAUGGUUAGCGGGUCUGAGAGGAUGAUCCGCCACACUGGCACUGGAACACGGGCCAGACUCCUACGGGAGGCAGCAGUGAGGAAUAUUGCGCAAUGGGGGAAACCCUGACGCAGCGACGCCGCGUGAAGUGAGGAAGGCCUUCGGGUCGUAAAGCUCUGUCAAGAGGAAAGAAGUGUACAAUGGCUAAUACCUGUUGUAUUUGACGGUACCUCUAAAGGAAGCACCGGCUAACUCCGUGCCAGCCGCGGC
rnacentral:rRNA from 1 species